UCCGCUUGGUGUAGUUGGUUUAUCACGUUCGGCUGUAAUAUCUGUUGUAACCGAAAGGUCCCUAGUUCGAUUCUGGUAUGGAA
rnacentral:tRNA from 1 species